rnacentral:rRNA from 1 species
GGAGAGUUUGAUCAUGGCUCAGAACGAACGCUGGCGGCAGGCCUAACACAUGCAAGUCGAGCGAGACCUUCGGGUCUAGCGGCGGACGGGUUAGUAACGCGUGGGAACGUACCCUUUUCUAAGGAAUAGCCACUGGAAACGGUGAGUAAUGCCUUAUACGCCCUUCGGGGGAAAGAUUUAUCGGAGAAGGAUCGGCCCGCGUUAGAUUAGAUAGUUGGUGGGGUAAUGGCCUACCAAGUCUACGAUCUAUAGCUGGUUUGAGAGGAUGAUCAGCAACACUGGGACUGAGACACGGCCCAGACUCCUACGGGAGGCAGCAGUGGGGAAUCUUAGACAAUGGGCGCAAGCCUGAUCUAGCCAUGCCGCGUGAGUGAUGAAGGCCUUAGGGUCGUAAAGCUCUUUCGCCUGUGAAGAUAAUGACUGUAGCAGGUAAAGAAACCCCGGCUAACUCCGUGCCAGCAGCCGCGGUAAUACGGAGGGGGUUAGCGUUGUUCGGAAUUACUGGGCGUAAAGCGCGCGUAGGCGGACAUUUAAGUCAGAGGUGAAAUCCCAGGGCUCAACCCUGGAACUGCCUUUGACACUGGGUGUCUUGAGUUCGAGAGAGGUGAGUGGAAUUCCGAGUGUAGAGGUGAAAUUCGUAGAUAUUCGGAGGAACACCAGUGGCGAAGGCGGCUCACUGGCUCGAUACUGACGCUGAGGUGCGAAAGUGUGGGGAGCAAACAGGAUUAGAUACCCUGG